rnacentral:rRNA from 1 species
GAGUUUGAUUCUGGCUCAGGAUGAACGCUGGCGGCGUGCUUAACACAUGCAAGUCGAACGAAGCACUUGAAUGGAAUUCUUCGGAAGGAAGCCCAAGUGACUGAGUGGCGGACGGGUGAGUAACGCGUGGGUAACCUGCCUCAUACAGGGGGAUAACAGUUAGAAAUGACUGCUAAUACCGCAUAAGCACACGUGAUCGCAUGAUCGAGUGUGAAAAACUCCGGUGGUAUGAGAUGGACCCGCGUCUGAUUAGCUAGUUGGUGGGGUAAUGGCCCACCAAGGCGACGAUCAGUAGCCGGCCUGAGAGGGUGAACGGCCACAUUGGGACUGAGACACGGCCCAAACUCCUACGGGAGGCAGCAGUGGGGAAUAUUGCACAAUGGGGGAAACCCUGAUGCAGCGACGCCGCGUGAAGGAUGAAGUAUUUCGGUAUGUAAACUUCUAUCAGCAGGGAAGAAAAUGACG